rnacentral:rRNA from 1 species
CGAACGGGUGAGUAACGCGUAAGGAACCUGCCUCAAAGAGGGGGACAACAGUUGGAAACGACUGCUAAUACCGCAUAAGCCCACGGCUCGGCAUCGAGCAGAGGGAAAAGGAGCAAUCCGCUUUGAGAUGGCCUCGCGUCCGAUUAGCUAGUUGGUGAGGUAACGGCCCACCAAGGCGACGAUCGGUAGCCGGACUGAGAGGUUGAACGGCCACAUUGGGACUGAGACACGGCCCAG